UGAGUAACCUGCCCUAGGCUUUGGGAUAACCCUCGGAAACGGGGGCUAAUACUGGAUAUUCCCGCGGGAUCGCAUGGUUUUGUGGGGAAAGGUUUUCCGGCUUGGGAUGGGCUCGCGGCCUAUCAGCUAGUUGGUGUGGGUAAUGGCCCACCAAGGCGACGACGGGUAGCCGGCCUGAGAGGGUGACCGGCCACACUGGGACUGAGACACGGCCCAGACUCCUACGGGAGGCAG
rnacentral:rRNA from 1 species